rnacentral:rRNA from 1 species
GCUUACGGCCACACCACCCUGAGCGCGCCCGAUCUCGUCUGAUCUCGGAAGCUAAGCAGGGUCGGGCCUGGUUAGUACUUGGAUGGGAGACCGCCUGGGAAUACCAGGUGCCUGUAAGCU